rnacentral:rRNA from 1 species
AUUGAACGCUGGCGGCAUGCCUUACACAUGCAAGUCGAACGGCAGCACGGGUGCUUGCACCUGGUGGCGAGUGGCGAACGGGUGAGUAAUACAUCGGAACAUGUCCUGUAGUGGGGGAUAGCCCGGCGAAAGCCGGAUUAAUACCGCAUACGAUCUACGGAUGAAAGCGGGGGACCUUCGGGCCUCGCGCUAUAGGGUUGGCCGAUGGCUGAUUAGCUAGUUGGUGGGGUAAAGGCCUACCAAGGCGACGAUCAGUAGCUGGUCUGAGAGGACGACCAGCCACACUGGGACUGAGACACGGCCCAGACUCCUACGGGAGGCAGCAGUGGGGAAUUUUGGACAAAGGGCGAAAGCCUGAUCCAGCAAUGCCGCGUGUGUGAAGGAGGCCUUCGGGUUGUAAAGCACUUUUGUCCGGAAAGAAAUCCUUGGCCCUAAUACGGUCGGGGGAUGACGGUACCGGAAGAAUAAGCACCAGCUAACUACGUG